rnacentral:lncRNA from 1 species
GAAGACUUUUCCAAAAGUCAACUUCAGUGACAGGAGACAGGUUCUGCUUCAGCCAGACCAGGAUUUAUGUUUAAAGUAGGUUUGAACGCACUGAAUGUUUUCAAAACAGACAAAAAAUAAUGAGAACACGUUGGAGUAUAAAUAUUUAACUUUACCUCAGUUGUCAUAAUAGCCCCAGCAAUUCUUCAAACACAACCGGAGGACUGAGGCAUCACUUCACUGGCAUCAGCCCGGGCUGCCUCCGCCUUGCCCUAGGAGCGCUGGUCCCCUCAAGUCCCCGGUUGCCCUUCCCGGAGCAUCCCCAAAGAGGAGGAUUGGAGAAGGCGUGACGCGGGGCGGGGGAGCCUAGGGAGAAGUGAGAUUUACUCUCUUUCGGUGGGAUCCGGCUGUGGCCAGAAGACUUUCCGCGUCAGAGCUGCUCGGCCAGCGCGUUUCCCGGGGAAGAGAGGCUGGUGGCGGGUCUUCCGACCCGAGGUUGUCCCGGCUCUCGCUACCUGCGCGCCCUCGCCGUACGGUGGUUAGAAUUCGGGAAGAUGCACUGGGAUGCCAAGAAAGCGCCUCUGUGCACCGAAAAGAUAUCCAUUAAAAACAACAACAACAACAACCACUUCUACAGCAUCUAUUAAACAUAUUUCCUUGGACUCGAAAUCUACAGCUCGGCAGAAACAAACAAGUCAAAGCAAAACCCCGGAAAAUAAAGAGAUUUAGAAG